rnacentral:lncRNA from 1 species
GCUUCCAAAUCCUUGUCCUCAGUUGGCUCUGGCUCCACUUCUUUUGUUUCUGAAGGCUGGGUUUCCUCUGUUUGGGUAUCCCCUUCCUCAUCUAACAUAAAAGGCUUCUUCUUCUUCUUUUUCUUCUUGCUCCUCGUCCCCAGACAUGGCUGCGGCUCGAGUGGGCUCGGCACGGACGGGAAGUCAGACGGGUCAGCCCCAGGCCCCGGCGGCAGCGCUGCCCCUGCCGAUACCUCUCCCACCACCGCACUAGGCUCUUGCAUCAGCGAAAGGAAACGACACCCCGCCCUCUCCUCCAAGCGUUGGAAAUGCGCCUGCG